UACGUAGGUGGCAAGCGUUACUCGGAAUCACUAGGCGUAAAGCGCGGGUAGGCGGUUCGGCAAGUCCGUCGUGAAAGCUCCUGGCUUAACCGGGAGAGGUCGGCGGAUACUACCGGACUUGAGUCUGGGAGGGGGUGUUGGAAUUCCCGGUGUAGCGGUGAAAUGCGUAGAGAUCGGGAGGAACACCAAUGGCGAAGGCAGACACCUGGACCAGUACUGACGCUGAGCCGCGAAAGCUAGGGUAGCAAACAGG
rnacentral:misc_RNA from 1 species